rnacentral:lncRNA from 1 species
GUCCGAGGCUUGCUUUCUAUCUUGCGCGUGGUGGGGGUUAGGAUGCUCUGUGCGCCCGAGCUUGCGGGGAGCCUGCGGGCCCCAAGCUCCGCCGUGGGCCGCGGGCAGGGGGGAGGCUGGCUCGGGCCUUGCUGAGGCGCCGCUCUGGUGAAUGGGGAGAUGGUACAAUCGUGCACGAGGGUGGGAGCCGGAUGACAGCUGCCUUGACUCCAGACAAAGCGCGGCCCUCCCCUCCCCCAGCCUCGCCGCGGGCCCACAGGGAGAGCAGUGCAGGCUCUGCAGCUGCGAGGCCUGAGGCCCCGGGCUUCGGCGCGCUCCCGGCUACGUGGCCGCCGCCGCCGGAUGGGGGAGGCGCGGGCCCGUGGCGCAGUGCCCUUGAGCCCCCGCCGCCGCCGCCUUUGUUUCUCCCCGCGGAGGCGCUGACCACGAGGCCCGCUCUCUCGAAUGGGGGACGGGCUACCCAGCUUGGUCUCUCGACGCGGGAAUGGAGCUCGGAAGGGGCCCUCCUCGAAGGAGAACGGGCGUGAAGGAGGUCGAUUUCUUCGGUUCUUAUCAGAACAGUACUUGAGGCAGGAGGAUUGCCAAUCUGGACUAGAGAUAGUGAUUACCGUCGCCGCCCCCCCACACACACACCCGGAGAAAGAAAAAGGCUAGGAAAUAGGACUGAGACAUCUUAAUGUGUUCCUUUUACAUCGUGAUUGAAGAGGGAGGGCUUCUGAAAAAAUAAGGAUGGAAUUAUAUGAGCUCCUUGGAGUAUUUAGAAAUCUAAAGAAAAAAAAGUUGUAUGGUUAUUAACCGACAAAAGCUCUUCAAGUCUCCGAUUAAAUUUUAAAAAUGGCCUCCAAUAAAACUACAUUGCAAAAAAUGGGAAAGAAACAGAAUGGAAAGAGUAAAAAAGUUGAAGAGGCAGAGCCUGAAGAAUUUGUGGUAGAAAAAGUACUGGACCGUCGUGUAGUGAAUGGGAAGGUGGAGUAUUUCCUGAAGUGGAAGGGGUUCACAGAUGCUGAUAAUACUUGGGAACCAGAAGAAAAUUUAGAUUGUCCAGAAUUAAUUGAAGCAUUUCUUAAUUCUCAAAAAGCUGGUAAAGAAAAAGAUGGUACAAAAAGGAAAUCUUUAUCUGACAGUGAAUCUGAUGAUAGCAAAUCGAAGAAGAAGAGAGAUGCUGCUGACAAGCCCAGGGGCUUUGCCAGGGGCCUUGACCCUGAGCGAAUAAUCGGUGCCACAGACAGCAGUGGAGAGCUAAUGUUUCUCAUGAAAUGGAAGGACUCAGAUGAAGCUGACUUGGUGCUGGCAAAGGAGGCGAAUAUGAA